AGAGACCCUCUCUUAAAAAAGAAACCAAAAAAAGCAAAAAAUAAGAGGUACCCCAGUAGGUUAUGUGGGUUCUACACAUCUUCCUCCCUGCCCACAUUAUAGUAAUAGCAGCCCUACUUCCUCGGAAUGAUCAGGGCCAAUUACCCUUGUGGAUUCUGACUCUUUCUUGCUAGUUCCUAGACACAAAGAGCCCAGCGUACCCCAGGCAACAGCUCUGGUUUAUAAUUCCAUGGGACUCUUGCUUGCCCCUGGUGAAAGUAUAGUCCUUUGGAGACCAAGAUAACGAACCCUGCAGAGUCUACAACUGUGGAGACAAGAUGCACAAAGCCCCCAGUUGGUCAAUGGUGGUGAUGCCAUGUAAUGCACGUGCUUUCCGUUUGCUUUCUGCCAUGAUUGUAAGUUUCCUGAGGCCUCCCCAGAACCGGAGCAGAUGCCAGCAUCAUGCUUUCUGUACAGCCUGUGGAACCACGAACCAAUUAAACCUCUUUUCUUUAUAAAUUAUCCAGUCUCAGGUAUUUCUUUAUAGCAGUGCAAGAAUGGACCAAUACAGUAGUUAACAAAAAGAAAAUGUAAAGUGCUCAUGAGGACUGAAAUUUUAUUCAGUUUAAGUCUCUUUCCUCCU
rnacentral:lncRNA from 10 species